AACCCAAUUAGGUCGUUCUUUGAUCAAAACAAAAAAAAAACUUCCUCUCAAUUUUCUAUCUCCCUCGUCUCUAGCUUACCCUCCGUUCAACGCUUCACUCUUAAUCUAUACAAUGAAUCUUCUGUGUUCAUUAAAUCCAUUAACUCCUACGAAGAAUUCCGCUUCUCUUUCUUUACAAUCAACGUGUAGUUCGUAUAAUAACGGAAAAAGUACCUCAAACCCUAUAAAUAGCAGAGGAAGGGAGCGCAAAGAGGGACUUUAGCACCGCGAUUCUGGAGCGGAAGAAGGCGGUGAAUCGUUUGGUUGUGGAUGAAGCCAUCAACGAUGACAACUCCGUCGUGUCUCUACACCCUGACACCAUGGAGAAGCUACAGCUCUUUCGUGGAGAUACCGUCUUUCUCAAGGUUUGUGCCGUGAAUAAAGCAUGGAGAAAGAACUCUUUAGAAGGAAAACAUGAUUUAAAACAAAUACCAGUUUUAAAGUUUGUAUAUUGACUAUUGUGAAUUAGUAAUUUACUUUAAAUAGUUUCAAAAAUAUGAUAUUCCUUUUUCUUUUUUUUUUGAAUGAAAAAAAAAUUUGGACCAUUUCUCGAUUUGUGCGUGUCAUCCUUGCGCAGGGGCCAUGCUAAUCUUCUCUGUAUCGUUCCAAUUUUAUCGGAUGUCCCCGAAGGGACGAUAUUCCUUUUUCGUGCACUGAGAGUUAAGUUAAGUCAUUCUAGAAUCAACAAUUUGAUAUUUCUUUUUUCUAUUGCUUAUGUUUUUCUUCUUCUUUUGGUUCCUUUGCUGAAUCCAAGGGUCUUGUGAAUGUGUCUCUAAUUGUGUGUGUAUGGACAACUUCCCUAUGGAUACUGUGGGUAUUGCUUUAGCUGAUGAUACAUGUGAUGAACCAAAGAUUAUGGUGAACAAAGUUGUCAGGUCGAACCUGAGGGCUAGGUUCGGAGAUGUAAUCUCUAUCCAUCAGUGCCCUGACGUCAAGUAUAGCAGGCGUGUUCACAUCUUGCCCUUAGAUGAUACCAUUGAAGGAGUUGGUGGAAAUAUAUUUGAUGCCUAUCUUAAACGUGAGUGUGUUUUAGGUGUUUCUCCUUAUAUAUAUCUCUUAGUGAGGUAUUUCGCUACCUAUUUAUAUUAAUCCUCAUCUUCUGUCA